rnacentral:misc_RNA from 1 species
UAAUUUUUUUUUUUUUAUCAAUCUAUAAUUAAAAUGUAAAUAUUUAUUUUUUUAAUUAAAAAAAAUCAUUCUAAAAAAAAAAAAUUAAAGCAUGAGGCCAAGAUCUUGAUUACUGCAAAAGAGCCCCAACUAUUUUGGAGUACAGACAGCAAUCACUUUGGUUUCAAGUUAGCAAUCCGAAGACAUCAAUAAUCACCUAUGGCUCCACUUCCACGGAAACACAGCUGUGUGAUAAAACCAGCAACUGGUUAUGAAUCUUGCCAAGAACAAGUAAAAGGAGACUGAUUGUUAAGGUACUUACCCUGAAAUUUUCCCAACCAGAGACGGAGGAGCGAUGAAACCAUCCACCGGAGAGACUAAAGCCUCAUAUCAUUGGAAAAGAUAACGGCAGAAAUGUAGUAUAAGUUGCCAGAAACUGAGAUGGACAUAGAGAUCUAGAUUUUCAUGAACAGACAAUCCGGAUGAGACGGCAGAUUACAUCAGUGAGUGGUGGUGUUUUGAUAACAAAGAUACAAUCAUGGAGAUGUUAUCUCCUUAUCUUAAUCAGGAUUUGAUCACUCAUCAACUGCAUAUCCAAUCUAAUUAACCUUUUCACCUUGACGAUCUUCAAUGAAUCCAAUCAUCAUAGACAGCAGCUCUACUCAAUUACCUUUGCAAUCGAAAGUGGAAGCUCUUCCAAUUCCUAUCCAAAGUGGUUGUGAAAAAGCUUCCACUUUCGAACUGCAAAGGGUAUUGGGUGAAAGCUAAAUAUUAUCAUCCAUCCAUGAUCUAUCCUCUGUAACUGCGACUCUUAACUCUGCGCUGGAGUUUAUGUAGUAGUGGAAUUAUAUGUACUUCAGGGGAAAGGAGAAAUCUAGAGAGUUGAAAAAGUCACUAGCUUUAUCAUUAAGCGACAAAAUAGGAAAACUUAUUGAAAUCCUCAAUUUGGACUUUACAACUUAGUGGAAU